GACAACUACGGGCCAGGAGCCGCAGUAAUGCGUAGGGGGGAAGCGUGGUCCGGAAUUAUGGGGCGGAAAGCGCGCGCAGGCGGUUCCUUAAGGCUGAUGUGAAAGCCCCCGGCUCAACCGGGGAGGGUCAUUGGAAACUGGGGAACUUGAGUACUGAAGAGGAAAGCGGAAUUCCACGUGUAGCGGUGAAAUGCGUAGAGAUGUGGAGGAACACCAGUGGCGAAGGCGGCUUUCUGGUCAGUAACUGACGCUGAGGCGCGAAAGCGUGGGGAGCAAACAGGAUUAGAUACCCGGGUAGUC
rnacentral:rRNA from 1 species